CUGCUGUGGGGCAACCCAGUGAACGUGAGUGUCUAUGAAACCUGGAGUGGCUAUUAACCCCUCUCCAGAAAUUACCUCGGUCGACGGUCCCAGCACGAAGUCAACUCCAUCCAUGGUAAAUGGGUUACCACCAUGACCUAUCCCCACGAUGACUCCGUCCUUUAUUCCUAUGUCGGCUUUAACUAUUCCAAGUAAAGGGUCCAUUAUCACCACAUUUGUGAUAACGAGAUCCAUG
rnacentral:sRNA from 1 species